rnacentral:tRNA from 1 species
ACCCAGAUGGCGGAAUUGGUAGACGCGCUACGUUCAGGUCGUAGUUCUCGCAAGGGAGUGGAGGUUCGAGUCCUCUUCUGGGCACCA